CCUACGGGAGGCAGCAGUGGGGAAUAUUGCGCAAUGGGCGAAAGCCUGACGCAGCGACGCAGCGUGAGGGAUGAAGGCCUUCGGGUUGUAAACCUCUUUCAGCGGGGACGAAGCGAAAGUGACGGUACCCGCAGAAGAAGCACCGGCUAACUACGUGCCAGCAGCCGCGGUAAUACGUAGGGUGCAAGCAUUGUCCGGAUUUAUUGGGCGUAAAGAGCUCGUAGGCGGCUUGUCACGUCGGGUGUGAAAACUUGGGGCUCAACCCCAAGCCUGCACUCGAUACGGGCUAGCUAGAGUGUUGCAGGGGAGACUGGAAUUCCUGGUGUAGCGGUGAAAUGCGCAGAUAUCAGGAGGAACACCGGUGGCGAAGGCGGGUCUCUGGGCAACUACUGACGCUGAGGAGCGAAAGCGUGGGGAGCGAACAGGAUUAGAUACCCUGGUAGUCCACGCCGUAAACGGUGGGCGCUAGGUGUGGGGAACCUUCCACGUUCUCUGUGCCGCNGCUACGACAUAGCGCCCGCCGUGGGAGGACGGCCGCGAGACUAAACUACAAGAAGUAGACGGCGUGAGACGUGCCGACGGCGACGACGAGGGAGGUAGG
rnacentral:rRNA from 1 species